UACAGAGGCCCCAAGCGUUACUGAGAAUCACUGGGUUUAAAGGGUGCGUAGGUGGUCCGUUAAGUCUGUUGUGAAAGCCCUUGGCUCAACCAAGGAAUUGCUUCGGAUACUGGCGGACUUGAGGCUAGUAGAGGUCACUGGAACUGACGGUGGAGCGGUGAAAUGCGUAGAUAUCGUCAGGAACGCCGGUGGUGAAGACGGGUGACUGGGCUAACACUGACGCUCAUGCACGAAAGCGUGGGGAGCAAACAGG
rnacentral:rRNA from 1 species